GUCGCGCAUUGCUCCAGGGGACAUUUCAAACUCUAGAUUAACAAAAUAAAGGUCUGAUGUGUGUUCCAACUAUCAAACUAUGUUUUAACUUAAAUAGAAUACAUGACAACCUCGUGCCCAGGCUCUUUCCAGCGAGGAGCGUAGUGGAAGCCUGGGUACGAGGUUGAAUCAUUGAACUAUAAAUAAACUGGAAGGCUAACU